GAUGAACGCUGGCGGCGUGCCUAAUACAUGCAAGUCGAGCGAACGGACGAGAAGCUUGCUUCUCUGAUGUUAGCGGCGGACGGGUGAGUAACACGUGGAUAACCUACCUAUAAGACUGGGAUAACUUCGGGAAACCGGAGCUAAUACCGGAUAAUAUUUUGAACCGCAUGGUUCAAAAGUAAAAGACGGUCUUGCUGUCACUUAUAGAUGGAUCCGCGCUGCAUUAGCUAGUUGGUAAGGUAACGGCUUACCAAAGCAACGAUGCAUAGCCGACCUGAGAGGGUGAUCGGCCACACUGGAACUGAGACACGGUCCAGACUCCUACGGGAGGCAGCAGUAGGGAAUCUUCCGCAAUGGGCGAAAGCCUGACGGAGCAACGCCGCGUGAGUGAUGAAGGUCUUCGGAUCGUAAAACUCUGUUAUUAGGGAAGAACAUAUGUGUAAGUAACUGUGCACAUCUUGACGGUACCUAAUCAGAAAGCCACGGCUAACUACGUG
rnacentral:rRNA from 1 species